AGUGGCUCAAACAAAAUAUAUAAAUUAAUAUACUACCGGGUCCUAGUUAUUAGUCCUUAAGAAAUAUCUGUAUGUUUAUUUUAUUUUAGCUGUACGCAAAGCUGCAAUUGUUUCUGAUGGCGUCAAUGGCCGUGUAGCAAUGGCUAGCAAUGACCAUGUACAAUCAGGAGUGACAGCUAAUGCAGGACCAGGAUCAAUAGUACAAAAGAACUAUGAUCAAAUAUUUGCUAUUCCUAUAUCAGCUUUAAAGUCAACCCAAAAUCUUUUGCCAGGAGAAAAAAAGAGUUUUAAAUAAAAUACUUUUAUUAUUUUAAUAUUACUUAUAUCAUAUCAGAAGAUAACCGACCACACCAAAAUUUGUUCCCUUGAUCACAAAAUCUGAUGAUUACUAUAAUUAUAAAAUAUUUACAGAUUAAUGAUGAUUACCUAUAGAACAAUGUGUGAAAUUAGAUAUUUUAAAAUGUUGACUUAAAAGUCAAUAAAAUCUGUUGCAAUAUCGUUUAUACAAUUCAUUUAUUAUUAUUAUUAUUUUUUGUUCUUGGUUGGUUGUUAUAAAUUUACUUU